rnacentral:tRNA from 1 species
GCGUUGGUGGUUCAGUGGUAGAAUUCUUACCUUCCAUGUGGGAGACUUGGGAUCAAUUCCCGGCCAGUGCA